UACAGAGGGUGCAAGCGUUAAUCGGAAUUACUGGGCGUAAAGCGUGCGUAGACGGUUAUGUAAGUCGGGUGUGAAAGCCCCGGGCUCAACCUGGGAAUUGCAUUCGAGACUGCAUAGCUAGGGUGCGGAAGAGGGAAGCGGAAUUUCCGGUGUAGCGGUGAAAUGCGUAGAGAUCGGGAGGAACACCAGUGGCGAAGGCGGCUACCUGGACCAGCACUGACACUGAGGCACGAAAGCCAGGGGAGCAAACGGG
rnacentral:rRNA from 1 species